rnacentral:rRNA from 1 species
AAAGGGGGACCACCCUCUAAGCCUAAGUAUGAUCAUUUGACCGAUAGAAAUAAAGUACCGUGAGGGAAAGGUGAAAAAGAACCCUGAGUAAGGGAGUGAAAAAGAAUCUUGAAAUUUCAUGCCUACAAUCAAUCGGAGCUUAUUUUGAGUUUUAUAAACUCAGUAAGUGACGGUGUACCUUUUGUAUAAUGGGUCAGCGACUAAAUAAAUAUAGCACGCUUAAGCGCUUAAGUGGAGGCUUACAUGUUUAAAAAAACGUAAAGUUAUAUUUAUUUGACCCGAAACCAAGUGAUCUAUUUAUGAGCAGGUUGAAAAUACAGUAAUAUGUAUCGGAGGACCGAACCCACGUUUGUUGCAAUAAACGGGGAUGACUUGUGAAUAGGGGUGAAAAGCCAAUCGAACUUGGAAAUAGCUGGUUUUCUGCGAAAUCUAUUUAGGUAGAGCUUAACUCGAAUUUAGUAAAAGGUAGAGCACUGUUUAAGUAAGGGUGGCGAGAAGCUUUACCAAGCUUAACUAAACUCCGAAUGUUUUUUUAAAAUGAGUUAAAGACAGACUUUGGGUGCUAAGGUCCAAAGUCAAAAGGGAAACAGCCCAGAUCGAAUGCUAAGGUCCCUAAACUAUAGCUUAUAGGUAAAGGAAGUAUGAAAGCGUAGACAACCAGGAGGUGGGCUUGGAAGCAGCCAUCCUUUGAAGAAAGCGUAAUAGCUCACUGGUCUAGCUUUUGUGUGCUUAAAAUGUAACGGGGCUCAAGCUAUAUACCGAAGCAACGAG